GGUCGGCAGGGACGUUGUUCCUGCCCAUUUUUGUGCUCUGAUGCCCCCUUACCAGGUCUGGCAUAUGCUUGAUAGAACUCUAAAAACAUUUGUCAAAAGAGUAAAUAAGAAAAAUGCCCAUUGCUGGGACGUCUUUUCCCACGUGGUGACUCAGGGCACGGUCCGCCGCGACUGCCACAGACUAUGACCGUCUCAUUUAAAGCAAAGAUGUCAAUUGCUGGCUUACACAAGAUAAAAGAUUUCGGGGUGUCACUGGAGUAGAUCUAAGGGGACUGGGCGCUCAGCGGGAUCGCGUUCUCCCUCCUCCCUCCGUUCCCGCUCCUGCGGGCGCACCGAGGCUGCCUCGGCCGUCGAUCAGAGCUGGUACAGGGGCAGGAGGGGGUCCCCCCACCCCGGGGGCCCUGUAGCUUCAGUUUUCCAUUCAGCAGACAGAGAACAAGCCAAGAGUUCUUUGCCAGCAACACCAGUUAGAGCUGCCCAGGCAGACGGGCCCAGAGCGGGUCACACGCCGUGUGGAGCCCAUUUCUCGGGCCGAGAGCGGGCUCCGCUCGGGUGGACAUGCCCAGCAGCAAGCGUGUGCAGAGCCACGGGGCUGCGAACGGAGGAAGAAUUAAAGCUGGGUGAUAAAAACAAAAAAGUUGCUGAUCUCUGCUUUAAAUGACUUCUACACGUGGCUACCUUAGGCUCAAGGCUUCACGAGGGAGUAUUCAAGAGAUGGGUAAUGGAAACUGCCUCUUUCUUUAGGCUUUUUGUAUUGUUCAAGUCCUAUGAAAGACUGUACGGCCAUCUUUAAUCUCUCACACUUGACCUACAGCCUCUUUCUAAAAGAUAUGUGCCGGGUGACUUCUAGAACACAGACCUGCUCCUCCCCAGCCACUCAGUGGUGGACAGGCAAGCAGGGCCUUACAUUCAAGAUGAAAGGCUGGUAACAGACCAAUAAAAUGUCACAACUAUUGAAAAGUGUUACAAAGGAAACAGGAGGGGGCGAUGGCCAACGUGGGUCACACACACGUAUUCCCAGAAAGGAGGAAACAAGGCUAAUUAACACGGAAACUUCCCUCUUGGAACUUUAAAUGGUAUGUUGUCCUGUGGAAUCGUACAGGAACACAGGGGCCAGGACCACCUGAGGCCACUAGGAUGUUAAGGGCCUGCUGCCGAAUGGGAACAUCUGUCGAAGCAGCCUUGCCGCCCAGCCCAUGCAGCUUGAAGCUGGUGAGACUUCUUUUUGUCUGAAUUUGCAUUUUACACAAGA